UGGGGUAUAGUGUAAUGGUAGCACAAUUGAUUCUGGUUCAAUUUGUCCGGGUUCAAAUCCUGGUACCCCAGCCA
rnacentral:tRNA from 2 species